AUAUCUCAACUUCAAAACUCUUUGUUUUGAAGGCUUGGAUGUGGAGGUUCAUGCUGGUGAAAUUAACUGGCUCCUCUUAAAUACAUUAGCGGAACUUUAUGAAUCGGCUUUGGUUUGAUAAUUAAAAAUCUAUGCCAUCGCUGAGGAGUCAGUGUGUCUGCUUCUAACUGUCCUCUGUUGGGGACUGCCUUCUUGGCACUACUUUUAA
rnacentral:misc_RNA from 1 species